rnacentral:rRNA from 1 species
AUUGAACGCUGGCGGCAGGCCUAACACAUGCAAGUCGAGCGGGGACUUCGGUCCUAGCGGCGAACGGGUGAGUAAUGCUUGGGAAUCUGCCCAGUAGUGGGGGAUAACGUCCCGAAAGGGACGCUAAUACCGCAUACGUCCUACGGGAGAAAGAGGGGGAUCUUCGGACCUCUCGCUAUUGGAUGAGCCCAAGUCGGAUUAGCUAGUUGGUAGGGUAAUGGCCUACCAAGGCGACGAUCCGUAGCUGGUCUGAGGAUGAUCAGCCACACUGGAACUGAGACACGGUCCAGACUCCUACGGGAGGCAGCAGUGGGGAAUAUUGGACAAUGGGCGAAAGCCUGAUCCAGCCAUGCCGCGUGUGUGAAGAAGGCCUUCGGGUUGUAAAGCACUUUAAGCGGGGAGGAAGGUUCGCGGCCUAAUACGUCGCGGAAUUGACGUUACCCGCAGAAUAAGCACCGGCUAACUCUGUG